GAUGAACGCUGGCGGCGUGCUUAACACAUGCAAGUCGAACGAGAAAUGGAGACGGAAACCUUCGGGCGGAAGGCUUCAUUUCGAGUGGCGGACGGGUGAGUAACGCGUGGGUAACCUGCCUCAUACAGGGGGAUAACAGUUGGAAACGACUGUUAAUACCGCAUAAGACCACAGCACCGCAUGGUGCGGGGGUAAAAACUCCGGUGGUAUGAGAUGGACCCGCGCUCGAUUAGCCAGUUGGCGGGGUAACGGCCCACCAAAGCGACGAUCGAUAGCCGAUUGGGGAGGAGGACCGGCCACAUUGGGACUGGGCCCCGGCCCAAACCCCUGGGGGGGGGAGCAGUGGGGAAAUUUGAACAAUGGGGGAAACCCUGAAGCGGCGCCGCCGGGUGGGGGAAGAAGUAUUUGGGUUUGUAAAGCUCUAUCAGCGGGGAAGAAAAGGACGGUACGGGGGAAAGAAACCCCGGCAAACUACGU
rnacentral:rRNA from 1 species